rnacentral:rRNA from 1 species
CCUACGGGAGGCAGCAGUGGGGAAUAUUGCGCAAUGGGCGAAAGCCUGACGCAGCGACGCCGCGUGGGGGAUGAAGGUCUUCGGAUCGUAAAACUCUGUCAGCAGAGAAGAACGGUCACUGUGCUAAUCAGCAGUGAAUUGACGGUACCUGAACAGGAAGCACCGGCUAACUCCGUGCCAGCAGCCGCGGUAAUACGGAGGGGGCGAGCGUUAAUCGGAAUUACUGGGCGUAAAGCGCUCGUAGGCGGUAUUUCAAGUCAAGGGUGAAAGCCCCGCGCUCAACGUGGGAAGUGCCUUUGAAACUGGGAAACUGGAGUGUGUGAGAGGAUAGUGGAACUCCAGGUGUAGGAGUGAAAGCCGUAGAUAUCUGGAGGAACAUCAGUGGCGAAGGCGACUAUCUGGCACAUAACUGACGCUGAGGAGCGAAAGCGUGGGUAGCAAACAGGAUUAGAUACCCUUGUAGUC